rnacentral:rRNA from 1 species
CAGAAGACCAAACGCCCGAGGAUUUUAUCAGAGGAAGGAGGUGGAAAGAUCGGGGUUCUGCAUUAUGAAGGCAUGCUUUGGUGUUACCGCUUCGUGAGCCCGGGGGGGGAUUACCCUACCCUAGGACAAACACAAAGCAUUUGUAAUUGCAAUCAGCGUCAGUAAAAAAUUAGGAUUACAACUUUCAACAACGGAUCUCUUGGUUCUGGCACCGAUGAAGAACGCGGCGAAUUGCAGAUUGUAGUGUGAAUUGCAGAAUGCAGUUCAUCAUCGAAUCUUUGAACGCACAUUGCGCCCUUUGGUAUUCCAAAGGGCAUGCCUGUUCGAGCGUCAUUUGUACCCUCAAGCUUUGCUUGGUGUUGGGCGUCUUGUCUCGGGCUUUGCUGGACACUCGCCUUAAAGAAAUUGGCAGCCGGCCUACUGGUUUCCGAGCGACGCGCAAGACGCACUCUCCAUGGCCGUAGCCCCGACAUCCUUUAGCCCUUUUUUUUAUUUUUUUACCUCUCCCUCCGCAGGGAUACCCGCUGAGAUUAAGCAUAUCCUUUAGCGGAGGAAA